UACGAAGGGGCUAGCGUUGCUCGGAAUCACUGGGCGUAAAGCGCACGUAGGCGGCUUUUAAGUCAGGGGUGAAUCCUGGAGCUCAACUCCAGAACUGCCUUUGAUACUGAGAAGCUUGAGUCCGGGAGAGGUGAGUGGAACUGCGAGUGUAGAGGUGAAAUUCGUAGAUAUUCGCAAGAACACCAGUGGCGAAGGCGGCUCACUGGCCCGGUACUGACGCUGAGGUGCGAAAGCGUGGGGAGCAAACAGG
rnacentral:rRNA from 1 species